rnacentral:lncRNA from 1 species
ACAUCUUCUCACGACUCCAGGCAAAAUCCAUCGGCAAAUGCAGGUGCGUUUCAAAGCCAUGGCGCUCUCUACUUUCUGACCCACUUUUCAUCAAAGCCCACCUCAAUCUCCACCUCCAUCACCCCCAAAAGCACAUCCUCAUCUCUAUUUCCCAUUCUCCUUCCUCUUACAAUUUAUCCGUUGUAACUUUCACCACCACCAGUGGCAGCAGUAACAACGAUGGCUUUUUGGAAAAGCUGACCCUUUUGCAGAACCAAUUGUGCUUCGCUGAAAUUGUUGGUUCUUGCAACGGGUUGGUGUUGGUGCUAACUUUUGAAGGGUCAAACACACCAACAAUGUAUUUGAUGAACCCCACUACCAGGGAGCUUGUGAAAUUUCAACCUAGCCCAUUGGUUUGGGAUGAUGCAGAAACUAGUUAUGGUUUUGGUUAUGAUAGUUCUAGUGAUGACUAUAAAAUUGUUACGCUGUCUCACGAUUGGCUUCUUGACAAAACAGAGAGUUAUCCUGCCUUUGUUGAUGUAUUUAGUUGGCAGACUGGAACUUGGAGGAGGAUUGGCUGUUUUCCUUAUGUUCCUAGUUCGCAUUCUGGUGUGUUUCUAAACGGGUCUAUACACUGGCUUGCUUUGUCUAAAAUUGAUGGAUUGUGUGUUAUAAUUGCUUUGGAUAUGAGCUGCAAGCAAUUUCAGCAAUUGCCAUGGCCUGAGACUGAUAAUACUCCUCAUAAUGGCAGUCGUAAGCUUGUACUGCUUGGUGGAUGUCUAGGAAUGGUUGUGGUGCAAUCUAGACAGCAUGUGGAUGUUUGGAUGAUGAAGGAGUAUGGUGUUGGAGAAUCUUGGACCAAAUUCAUUGUUACUACACCUAAAAAUGCGUCUGUGUGGGGACCUAUAUGCCUGUUGGGGGGUGAUGAUGUUGUUUUGCAGAUGGGUGGUAAGAACUUUGUUGUGGUGCAUUAUUUGAAAGAGAGAACUAUGAGGGAUAUGGUAAUUGCUGGCAUUCGAGAUAAGUUUAGAAGAGGAGUAAUAGGCUUUUCCGAGAGCCUUGUGUCACCUAUUUUCAACAGUCAGCAAUGGAGAGCAACAUUACCUGAGGAUGACUUUCAAAAUUCAUGCUAGUGGAGGUAAAAGCUUACUUUUCUUUGAAGGACUAUUGAGAAAGGUUAACAGUUGGUUUAGUCUUACUUUUGUAGAAGUUGCAAUGACUGACAAAAUUGUACUUGCUAAUUUGAUUAAUCAAAGCAUUCUAAAACGGGGAAAUAGGUUUGAAAGAGCCAAAACAAGUAUAUAAAUUGAAGAAGUGAAAAAAGAGGGAAAUGAAUCUGUGCUUCUUGAAUGUGGCAAUCUUGAACUAGCAUUAAAAGUUCACAGUUUGGUUUAGAUCGUGAGCAUUUUUUUUAGCUAGUUUCAAGUGAACAAUGCUGAACACUAGGACUUGCUACUUUGUGGACAAAGGGUAAAAUAAAGGCAAAAAGCAGAACAAAUAGUGUUGAAGAGUUGUAGCUCCGUCUUAAAUUUUCGCCCAACUAUGCCUGUUUUCAGAUUCAUCAUUCUAAAGAGUCAUUUACUUGGUAUAUCUGCAUGAUAUUUUAUCUCCCUCCAUCAAUUGUUGUCUUUGCAGCUAUAAUUACAUUAAGGGUCCAUCUUUAUACCAUGCCCUCUUCUUUAUCAGUUGAUGAAAUGGCUAGAUAAAAUCUACUGGUUUAAAUUAAGUACCAUGCAAUUUUACGGUUAAGGUGCAUCCUUGAACCAAGUUCCGAGCUGCUCUUAGAUUGAGUAGAUUUUUUUCUUCACCCAGGCUAUCCUAAAACUUGAGAAAUGGAUGUGAACAAGAGGAAUGCUUUUGCUUUGUAAACACAGAAUCGGCAUAUUUUGAGGUUGAGUAUGUCAAUGGAGGUUUAAAAUGGUGAAAUCUGUCUCUUUUAAGGUUUCUUAUCUCUUUAGCCAAAGUUUUAUGGUUUCUUAAGGGCAUCAGAUAUUUCGUCUUGAUAAAGUUUUGUUACCAUUUUAAACACCUGCUUCUAUAAUUAGUCUUCGUAGUGUUUUUUGGGGUUGUAAUUGAUUGACAAUGGGCCACAAUGCCUUUGAUUCAGCAUGCUAGACAAAUUUUUUGAAUGUUUAUUGUGGAACUAUUAACUUUUUUUUUUUUGUGAUGAAGUUUAGCCCAAAUCUACCCCAGGUUGAGUAGAUUUUGGCCUUCUAAUGACAUAUUUACUUCAGGAUUUUGGGGUUUGACAUCCUUUGCAUCUGUUUCUGUAAUUCUAUUUUCUUCUUUUCUUUUAGUGAUUUUUUUAUUACUUCUUUACUUUUUAAUUGGAGCAUGUGCAAGGUGAAAAAUGUUGCUUGAUGAAACUUUAACGUGUAGGCUGUGGUAGUUAAGUUGAAGAUUAGGUAAUAUACUUACAAGUGGUCUGAGUAACUAAUUAGAUGUCAUUCAGUGCUCUGACCAGUUGAUAUCUUUCAUAUACUUCUGAAAUUAGCAUUUUAAUUGUUGAUGUUUCUGAACUCUAUCUUCCCAUUAUUCUAUUUUACUUUGAGAUUUUAACUGACUUUAUGUGCUGAGUUUGCUGAUGUGAAUGCAACAGAUUCAUGAUUCCAUUUAGCUUGGUUGUGGACUGAAACUUAUUUUCCCAUUCUAUUCCUCAGACACACAAGCUGGCAUAGCAUAAUGACAUUUCCCACCAUUAAAUAUUUCAAGAUGGAGAAACACACAUGUGAAUGUUAUAGCCGUCUUGUUUAUGGUGUUAUAGAUGACAUGUUGCGAUCUUUUGAGUGUAUAGCCUUUCAAGAAUUUAAAACUGCUUUUACUUCUUUAAUCAGAUUUAUGGGUUUGUAUAUAACAUUUCAGAAGUGAAGAUGUUCAAUUGCUGACUUCAACUUUGGAUACUGCAAUCAGGUUUCCAAGCAAUUGUAGAGGUUCCAUUGAAGCUGCUGCUUUAGUCUUCAUGGUGAUGCAUAAUGAAGCUGAUGGAGCUACAUUGCACUUGAAAGUAUUAUUGAACAUAUUUCUGUGUAGAGAUUCAAUAGACAUAUAUGUGUUAUAGCAGGAGCCUUGUAGAAUAGGCUGUUUGAUUUGGUUGUACAUGUUAUUUGACGAGAAUAUCUACUGCUAGGAUGUGAAUGUUUGCCUCACAAUCACCCUAAUAAGUGCACUGUAUUCUCUUUGUUGCCAAUUCUCAAACUUUAUCAGCUUAAAUGUGUGGAUUGCCAGGCAUUGGUUUUCAAUUGGAUGGACACUCAGGUUCUUUGAGACCUCAAACAGUGAGAUGGUUAUCAGGGAAGAAGAAGCAGCUUUAUUUUUUCUUCUAGUAAUUCAGAAUUUGCAGAGCUUUUGAAAGAUUAGUAGCCAAUUGUUUAAGGUACUCUGUUACAUUUGUUUUUGGCGUGUGGUCAAUGCAUGUUAAUUCAUAUUUUCUUUCCACUGCCAAUUAUUGAAGUGAAAUUUAGGAAAAUUGGUCCCCUUAAGUUGUGCAUCUCUAGUGAAACAUAUUCUAUGAAGAAGUUAAGCUAAGACAAGACAAUUGGCGCAGCUUCAAUUUUGAAGAAAAUCUUACAUUAAAUCCAUCAAAGGAAAACAAUAAUGCUUAAGGAAAGGCUAUAUUCAACUUUAGAAACAGGUUUUUUUGGGACAUCUAUGCAACCUUAAGCCAGAAGAAUGUGUGUAACAUCCGUGGAAUGCAUCUCCUAGGUUAUAAAACAACAAAGAGAUGCAAGAAAAUAAAAAGAAAUAUGAACAGUUAAUUUUUUUCCCCUUUUCUUUAGCAGUCAUCAAUGUUGUUGAAUUAAGUACCAAAGUUACAUUCCUUCUCCUUAAAUAUUCAUUAACGGUUGCUAAAAAGAUUAAAAAAAAGAAGAAGAGAGAGAUAGAUAUCUGAAUCAUUUGGAGACGGAACAAAUAUUAAUCAAAUGACUUUUGAGGUUAUAAUAAGGUGUUUGGUUAAAUACCAAUCCACGAACUUGAUAGAAAAACUUAAACUAAAUUGUUUAUGCAUGUCAGCGUAUACAUCAAUGGGUCUAAAUGCAUACGCUAAUAGUUUAGAAAAAUUAAUUCUAGAACUUGUAUUAUCGAAAGUACUUUUAGCAAAAUGUUAAAAUUGAUGGUUAAGAAUAAUUCUUGUGCUUUAAAAAAUAAAACAUCAAUUUUGAACAUUUUAUCAGCAAUUAUGAAUUGAAUUAAAAAGAUAAAUAUACUUUAAAAAUACAAAGUAUGUAUUCAAACAAUAUAUUUAAAGGGAUAAUUUUAGAAAUCUCCCUUGAGGUUUCUAACUAUUUCACUUAGUUCCCUUGAUAUUUUUAAAAUUACAUUUACUUCUCUUGAUUUGACGCUUUGGUAACCAAAACUUAAAAUAGUGUCAAAAUUUUAAUGAAUAUUCUAAAAUGUCCUUAUCUUAUAAAGUUUAAUUUGUUCAUCUAAACAAUUAUAAAUUAAUUUGGCACAAUUAUAUUAAAAAAGAGUGUCAAGUUUUUCAUGCCAAUAUUUGUUAUUUGAUAAUCAACUAUAACAAUAAAUCUUUUGUUACAAUAGGCCAUUUUUCAUAGGGUUAAAUGCAAAAAACUCCCACAAACUAUAUACCCAUUUGCAGUUUACCCCUUAAACUAUAAUAGGUAUUUUGUUCUCUUGAAUGAUAUGUUUGGACAACACUAUCCCUAUUAUCUUAAAUCCUUUCUUUUUUUUUUUCUCUAUUAGUUUUUUUCAUUUUUUUUCCUUUUAUUUUCUUUUUGUUCUCCUUCUCUCGUGGAACUAACCAACAUCUCUCUCCGAUGUGAAAAGACUUACAUAAAAAAUUUUAAUAUUUUUUAAACUACUUUUUCAAUUUGUUUAUUUGUUAAAUUCUUUCUUAAUAAUUUGUCAUAAACUCUUUGUUAUUACAAAAUAUAUGUAGCUUAUAUUGUAAAGUAUAUUAAUCUAGUAAUUCAACAAUUUAAGUACCUAUAAACUAAUUAAGAGUUCACAGUUAUUCAACUACUUAUAAUAAAAGUAACAUAUUAUAUAUCACAUAAAAAAGAAAAGUUAGCAAUUGCUUUUUGUAGUGAAAUAAAAAAUAAGAAUAAACAACAAUAGUAGUUCAUUUUUUUUUUGUUAUUGAUACUACUAAUAAUUGAUUUAUCAAUUUCUCUAUUUUGUUAUUAUAUAUUUGAAAAGUUCAAUUUCUUAAAUGACAUUGACUUCAACACUUGGAAAAAAAAUCUUGUAUUCCAUAGAUUUUUUUUUAAUAAAAUAUUGACAUACGAAAUUAAGAAAUAAAAAAUUUUGACUAAUCUAAUCUACUUAUUUAAAUAAUGUUUAGAGAAAAAAAGGAAGAAUUUAAAAAGAAAAUGAUAGGGAAAAAAGAAAAAUAACAAUGCUUAAAAUAAAAGGGGUAGAUUUGUCCAAACAUAUCAUUCAAGGGGGCAAAAUGUCUAUUAUUAUAGUUUAGGGGGUAAACUACAACUCGGUAUAUAGUUUAUGGGAUUUUUUGCAUUUAACCCUUUUUCAUAUUGCUUUAUUGGAGAUAUAUAUUCUUUUUAAGAUAGAGAAGAAAUUGUUAUCUUGUUUUUCUUAAAGUUUUUGGACUAUUUUUUUUAAUAAAAAUUUAUGGACUAACUUACUGAUGGAACUAUCAUAGUUUGAUAAUGAUUUUGGGCCAUUUUAUUUUUAAUUUUUGUUGAUUUAUUCUUGAUUUUGAUACAAAGAAAGAGUUAUAAAAAAUUGGAUGAUAUUAAAAGUUAUUAAGAAAAUAUUCCUAGUUUAACAUUUGAUCAAGGGAGAUAUUACGGAUAACAUUGAUAGUUGUUCUAUACUUCUAAUAGAAUAUAAGAGAAAUGAAUAAAAAGAAAAAAAGAAAAAAAAUUAUAAAAUCCAUCCUUUGUAUAAACAUGGUAACAAGGGAAUUUUAUUAAAAUAUUAAGGUUAAUAUUAAAGAUCAAACAUUGUCAUCUUAAAUGGGUAAGGGAGUUAGGUGUAAUGUUUGAAAUUAUAGGAGAGCUAAGUGAAAUCAUGAGAAACCUUAGGGAGUUUUCUAAAAUUAUCCCAUAUUUAAUACUUAAUUUUCCUAGAAAAAAAAAGCAAGAAAGGGAAUAGGAAAAAAAAAUAAUUCCCUAAUAAAGAUCAAACAUUUCACUGCUAGCUUUGGUGCUUUCCCAACUUCGAGAAAGACGCCGCUGCUCCUCACCGUCUACGCCUCCUUCCACCGGUAAACCCCUACCACCUCCACCAUCACCUCCACCUCCACCUCCACCUCCACCUCCACCUCCACCUCCAUCUGCAGAUUUUAUGCUUACUAAGUAUACAAUUAAUCCAUGUCCUUGAAAUUUUUCCAUCAAACAGAAAUGCCGGUUGCCACGGCCGACUCAGCUCCAGAUAUCCCCCAAGAACUCAUCAUCGAUAUUCUCUUACGACUCCCGACAAAAUCCGUCGGCAAAUGCAGGUGCGUUUCGAAGCCAUGGCGCUGUCUACUUUCCGACCCACUUUUCAUCAAAGCCCACCUCAGUCUCCACCUCCAUCACUCCCAAAAGCACAUCCUCAUCUCCAUUUCCCGUUCUCCUCCCUCUUCCAAUUUAUCCGUUGUAACUUUCACCACCACCAGUGGCAGCAGUAACAACGACGGCU